UGUCGCCACCGCCGCCGCCGCCGUCUUUCGUCACUGCAGCGUCCUCCAAGCGGUCCUGCGCCGUUUUCUACACUGUUGUUGUUACUGGUUGCAUCUAGAUCCUUUAAGUUUCACGUGGGUAUUCAGAAUCCUCAUUGAUCCGAUUGCCUCAAAGUUUCAAUGGCUGAUUCCACGUCUAGGAUAUGUGUGAAGAAUUUGCCCAAGUUCAUAGAUGACAAUCGCCUUCGUACUUUGUUC